rnacentral:rRNA from 1 species
CUUGACUGUAUCUUGGAAUUGGGUUCGGGCUUUUCUUGCGCAGUAUAGGUGGGAGGCGUUGAAAAUUUUCUUGCGGGAAGAUUGGAGCCAUCAGUGAGAUACCACUCUUGUAAUGUUAGAUUUCUAACUUUGGAUCAUGAUCUGGUCAAAGGACAGUUUCAGGCGGGCAGUUUGACUGGGGCGGUCGCCUCCCAAACGGUAACGGAGGCGUACAAAGGUUUCCUCUGAACGGGUAGAAAUCGUAUCUAGAGUGUGAAGGCAUAAGGAAGCUUGACUGUGAGACCUACAAGUCGAGCAGGGACGAAAGUCGGUCUUAGUGAUCUGACGGUGCUGAGUGGAAAGGCCGUCACUCAACGGAUAAAAGUUA